UACGGGGGGUGCGAGCGUUGUCCGGAAUCACUGGGCGUAAAGGGCGCGUAGGUGGUUUGAUAAGGGUGUGGUGAAAGCCCGGGGCUCAACCCCGGGUCUGCCGUGCCGACUGUCAAACUCGAGGGCUGUAGAGGCAGACGGAAUUCCGGGUGUAGCGGUGGAAUGCGUAGAGAUCCGGAGGAAGACCGGUGGCGAAGGCGGUCUGCUGGGCAGUUUCUGACACUGAUGCGCGAAAGCGUGGGGAGCAAACAGG
rnacentral:rRNA from 1 species